CAAAAUGGCGGCAUCACAAAAUGUCGGCCCCACCAAAUGGCGUCCAUGUAAGAUGGCAGCCAUGUAAAAUGGCGGCCCCACAAAAUGGCAGCAUUACAAAAAGAUGGCGGCCCAAGAUGGCGGCUUUACAAAAUGGCGGCCAUGCAAAAUGGCGCCAAUGCAAAAUGGCGGCCCAAGAUGGCGGCAUUACAAAAUGCCGGCCAUGUAAAAUGGCGCCAAUGCAAAAUGGCGGCCCAAGAUGGCAGCAUUACAAAAUGCCGGCCAUGUAAAAUGGCGCCAAUGCAAAAUGGCGGCCCAAGAUGGCGGAAUUACAAAGUGGCGGCCCCACAAAAUGGCGGCAAUGCAAAAUGGCGGGCCAAGAUGGCGGCAUUACAAAAUGGCGGGCCAAGAUGGCGGCAAUACAAAAUGGCGGCCACGCAAAAUGGCGGGCCAAGAUGGCGGCAAUACAAAAUGGCGGCCAAGCAAAAUGGCAGCCCUACAAAAUGGCGGCCCAAGAUGGCGGCUCCACAAAAUGGCGGCCACACAAGAUGGCAGCAAUGCAAAAUGGCGGCUCUACAAAAUGGCGUCCCAAUAUGGCGGCCCCACCAAAAUGGCGGCCUUGCAAAAAUGGCGGCCCCACCAAAAUGGCGGCAAUGCAAAAUGGCGGCAUUACAAAAUGGCGUCCCCACAAAAUGGCGGCAAUGCAAAAUGGCGUCCCAAGAUGGCGGCCCCACAAAAUGGCGGCCCCCCCACAAAAUGGCGGCUCAAGAUGGUGGCCCCAUCAAAAUGGCGGCCCCACAAAAUGGCGGCCCAAGAUGGCGGCCCCACAAAAUGGCGGCCCCCCACAAAAUGGCGGCCCAAGAUGGCGGCCCCAUCAAAAUGGCGGCCCAAGAUGGCGGCAUUACAAAAUGGCGGCCCCACCAAAUGGCGGCCCCCCCACAAAAUGGCGGCCCCACCAAAAUGGCGGCCCAAGAUGGCGGCAUCCGAACGCGACGACGUUCCCCCCCGCCUUCCCCCCGUUCCCCGCAGGAGCCGCUCGCCGUUUUUUUCCGCCACGUUUACUCUCAUCCCUCCCCCCCGGCGCCGUCGUGCUGCCCCGC
rnacentral:lncRNA from 1 species